UUUUUGAGGUGAGAAAUGGCUCCUCAUACGCUACUUUAAGUAGUAACCAGAGAUGCAGGGUACGCCGACCUGCCAAAAA
rnacentral:ncRNA from 1 species